rnacentral:rRNA from 1 species
UACGGGGGGGGCAAGCGUUGUUCGGAAUUACUGGGCGUAAAGGGCUCGUAGGCGGCCAACUAAGUCGGACGUGAAAUCCCUCAGCUUAACUGGGGAACUGCGUCUGAUACUGGAUGGCUUGGAUUCGGGAGAGGAAUGCGGAAUUCCAGGUGUAGCGGUGAAAUGCGUAGAUAUCUGGAGGAACACCGGUGGCGAAGGCGGCAUUCUGGACCGAUAUUGACGCUGAGGAGCGAAAGCCAGGGGAGCAAACGGG